UUUCGUGAUGACUGCCUGAUAGGGACAGCUUAUGCGCUGCAAUUGAUGUCAUUUCAGAGAGAGUAUUUUAGUAGAUAUUCUUUUGUCUGAUU
rnacentral:snoRNA from 1 species